GAUGAACGCUGACAGAAUGCUUAACACAUCAGCAAUUGAUUGGUGGCGGACGGGUGAGUAACGCGUACAGAACUUGCCUCACAGGUAGGGACAACAUUUGGAAACGAAUGCUAAUACCUAAUACUGUGAGAGAGCUUUGCCUCCCAUUAGCUAGUUGGAGAGGUAACGGCGCACCAAGGCGAUGAUGGGUAGCCGGCCUGAGAGGGUGAUCGGACAAAAGGGGACUGAGACAAGGCCCGUAAGCCUACGGGAGGCAUCAGUGGGGAAUAAUGGACAAUGGACCAAAGUCUGAUCCAGCAAUUCUGUGUGCACGAUGAAGUUUUCGGAAGGUAAAGUGCUGUCAGUUGGGAAGCGGUACCAACAGAAGAAGUGACGGCUAAAUACGUGCCAGCAGCCGCGGUAAUAC
rnacentral:rRNA from 1 species